AAUUUUCGCAUCAGCCCACUGUUCGCUGCAGCCGUAACACACCUGACGUGUGGACCGAGUUCACUAACCACUGGACCGGUUUUUCGCUUUGCGUCUCUCAGCCUUCAGAUGUCAGUUCCACCCGACCCCCAAGCAUCAAUUCCCCCUCCUGAAUCUCCUCAUCCCUUCAUCUUCUUCGAUCUCAAAUCUCGAAGCCAAGCAACUACCGACCUCAGCCAAGCACAACCUCAGUCCACUCCACCACGACCUCAGCCCUCCCAAGGAGAUCAGUCCCCAAGCCCUCGGUCCCUAAGUCCACCAACGCGAAGCCCUCAGUCCAUUCGACGCGAACCCACCCUCAGUCCACCGAUGCGAAUCCCUUAGAUAUGCAGGAGGGUAAAUAAUCUGUGAUUCUAGAGUUUGGAUAUACAUUUUUUUCUCUGUUUACUCCAUUCUUUUUUUUCUCUGUAUUUACUAGAAACUAAUGGUGCGGGGCUGUAGAUGUUGCCUCUCAUGGCAUACAUUUCUCUUUUUUCUCUCUGUGAUGCUAGAAACUAAAGCUAUUUCUGCUGCGGUUUCGAAUUCCCGAGCACCACCCCCCCACCACCCCCACCCAAAGCCCCCAACUGCGAUUUCGACUUCGGUUCUCACCCCCGAAGCCCCUAACUUCUUUGCAUUGUGAUUUUGAUGUCUUCUGCAGGUGAUCCUAACAAUUUAUUCAUCCAUUACAUAAUCUUGAUUUUUAGUGAAAACAAACUAUCAGGACUGUUUUCAAGAGACCUUUGCUUCUCAAGUUGUUGCAUACUUUGGAUUUCUUUACAUCAAUUAAUUUAUUAAAAUAUUGGAUUAUCUAUGAAAAAUUAUUUUCUGCAUCACUAAGGAUCAUGAAGCUUGAAAAAUAGGUUUUAACAAAAGGCUUGGGUCAGUUUUAUAAUUUUCUGAGGAACGUAACAUGGGAAAAAAGCUGAACAAUCGUAAGUUCGAAAGAGAGAGGAGGACGUAUUGCGAAGAAGGGAAGAUAAACUAAGAGAGAAAGAGACAAAUGCUCAGAAGGUUGAGGUUGAACAAAAUUUGCAGAGGGUCGAGAAUAGAAAUGCACUAAUAUUAUUGUGUUUAUACUGGGUUGUAUCAAUUGUAAUAGUUUAUGCUUGGUUCAGAUAAACUAUAAGGCAUAUGUAAAUAAGUGGAUAUUUUCUUUAUUUUUCUUGUAUGGAUCAACUGUAAUGGUACUCCCCCUUGAAUUAGGCAAAGCUUGAUUAGGUACUUGAUCAAGCAUUUUGUUGUAUAUGGGAAGAGGUAUUGUGGAGGCUAUGA